UACGUCAGUGGCAGACGGGUGAGUAACGCGUGGGAACGUACCUUUUGGUUCGGAACAACUGAGGGAAACUUCAGCUAAUACCGGAUAAGCCCUUACGGGGAAAGAUUUAUCGCCGAAAGAUCGGCCCGCGUCUGAUUAGCUAGUUGGUGGGGUAAUGGCCCACCAAGGCGACGAUCAGUAGCUGGUCUGAGAGGAUGAUCAGCCACAUUGGGACUGAGACACGGCCCAAACUCCUACGGGAGGCAGCAGUGGGGAAUAUUGGACAAUGGGCGCAAGCCUGAUCCAGCCAUGCCGCGUGAGUGAUGAAGGCCCUAGGGUUGUAAAGCUCUUUUGUGCGGGAAGAUAAUGACGGUACCGCAAGAAUAAGCCCCGGCUAACUUCGUGCCAGCAGCCGCGGUAAUACGAAGGGGGCUAGCGUUGCUCGGAAUCACUGGGCGUAAAGGGUGCGUAGGCGGGUUUCUAAGUCAGAGGUGAAAGCCUGGAGCUCAACUCCAGAACUGCCUUUGAUACUGGAAGUCUUGAGUAUGGCAGAGGUGAGUGGAACUGCGAGUGUAGAGGUGAAAUUCGUAGAUAUUCGCAAGAACACCAGUGGCGA
rnacentral:rRNA from 1 species